UAACAAUAUCUGGGUUGCAGAACAAAAGAAAUGACCAGACCAUUUCAGUAGGAACUGAAGUAACCAACAGUUUGUUGCAUAAUAGUCAGCUAAGUUUCCUCACUGAUAGCUUAAAUUAGCUUAGCUAGUUAGCCAUGUCAACACUGCAGCCUUUUAUUACAUGGGGGCAUGUCUGACACUAGCCCGCACACGUCUAUUAAUUAACCUGGGUUUAGUUUGCUUAAUGCCAGAUUAACUGCCCACCUGUGUCCAUUUUUUAGUCUUUUGUAGUCGCUAUGAUAAUUUCCUUUUCAUGAGUGUGGUGCUGUCUGGAUACCAAGCAGUAUGGACGCUAAGCUAGCUACACCAGAGAAACAACAGACGGGUGUCGUUCUCUUGGAGAAGAGCAUGUAACAAGUAGCAGCCGAGCACUGUGACCAGGACAGCCACCAGCACCAGCGCUACCAGGCCAGACACCAGACCUGCCACGUCCACCUCAACAAAGGACUCUGGGGAAAAAGAAACAUUCAACUCAUUUAGGGUCAGUUAUUAUUCAGUGUGAAACAUCCUUCAAAGGUUGUGGAGCAAUAAUGCUGGAUUCUGUACCUUGAUUCUGCUGCCAAUAUGCUUGCUGUAAAAAGAAAAGAAAAAAAGACAGCAAUAGUUUAUGGUUCU